rnacentral:rRNA from 1 species
UUUUGGACAAUGGGGGCAAGCCUGAUCCAGCCAUUCCGCGUGAGGGAAGAAGGCCUUCGGGUUGUAAAGCUCUUUCGCAACCCCAAGAACACCUUACUUUCUAAUAAAGAGUGAGGUUGACGGGUACCUUGAUAAGAAGCACCGGCUAACUACGUGCCAGCAGCCGCGGGUAAUACGUAGGGGGCGAGCGGUAAUCGGAAUUACUGGGCGUAAAGCGUGCGCAGGGCGGCUUUGUAAGUCAGAUGUGAGAUUCUCCGAGCUCAACUUGGGAACUGCGUUUGAAACUACAAGGCUAGAAUAUGUCAGAGGGGGGUAGAAUUCCACGUGUAGCAGUGAAAUGCGUAGAGAUGUGGAGGAAUACCAAUGGCGAAGGCAGCCCCCGGGAGUAAUAUUACGCUCAGCACGAGG